rnacentral:ncRNA from 1 species
GUAGAGUAAAUAUUGUGCGUCAAGUGCUCUAGGAUGGGAUGUUGCCUAGAGACGAAGCUAUUUGGCACGAUACAAUGUUGCAUCCACUA